UGUGAUCUCCCUGAGACUUAGAGUCUCCUGAAGGAACGUUGAAGACGACGACGUUGAUAGGCCGGGUGUGUAAGCGCAGCGAUGCGUUGAGCUAACCGGUACUAAUGAACCGUGAGGCUUAACCUUACAACGCCGAAG
rnacentral:rRNA from 1 species